GGCAGACUGUGCUGUUGGUGGUCCAGCAGUCCGGACUUCAGAUCCGGGAUACUCGAGAGAGUAUGGGGUUCGAUUCCCCCAGUCCGCCGCCA
rnacentral:tRNA from 1 species